GCAAACUUGGUCAUUUAGAGGAAGUAAAAGUCGUAACAAGGUCUCCGUUGGUGAACCAGCGGAGGGAUCAUUACUGAGUUGCAAAACUCCCAAACCACUGCGAACAUACCACUGUUGCUUCGGCGGUCCGCCCCGGGUGCGUCCUCGCGUCGUGUCCCGGGCCCAGGCGGCCGCCGGGGGCACCGAAUCUCUGUCUUUAUAGCGGGCUUCUGAGUACUUUAAACAAAUAAAUCAAAACUUUCAGCAACGGAUCUCUUGGCUCUGGCAUCGAUGAAGAACGCAGC
rnacentral:misc_RNA from 1 species